rnacentral:rRNA from 1 species
GUAGGUGGCAAGCGUUGUCCGGAAUUAUUGGGCGUAAAGCGCGCGCAGGCGGUCCUUUAAAUCUGAUGUGAAAGCCCACGGCUCAACCGUGGAGGGUCAUUGGAAACUGGGGGACUUGAGUACAGAAGAGGAAAGCGGAAUUCCAAGUGUAGCGGUGAAAUGCGUAGAGAUUUGGAGGAACACCAGUGGCGAAGGCGGCUUUCUGGUCUGUAACUGACGCUGAGGCGCGAAAGCGUGGGGAGCAAACAGGAUUAGAUACCCUGGUAGUCCACGCCGUAAACGAUGAGUGCUAAGUGUUAGGGGGUUUCCCGCCCCCCUUAGUGCUGCAGCUAACGCAUUAAGCACUCCGCCUGGGGAGUACGGCCGCAAGGCUG